rnacentral:rRNA from 1 species
CCAGACUCCUACGGGAGGCAGCAGUGGGGAAUAUUGGGCAAUGGGCGCAAGCCUGACCCAGCAACGCCGCGUGAAGGAAGAAGGCUCUCGGGUUGUAAACGUCUUUUAUCAGGGACGAAGCAAGUGACGGUACCUGAUGAAUAAGCCACGGCUAACUACGUGCCAGCAGCCGCGGUAAUACGUAGGUGGCACGCGUUGCCCGGAUUUACUGGGUGUAAAGGGCGUGUAGCCGGGCUGACAAGUCAGAUGUGAAAUCCGGGGGCUCAACCCCCGAACUGCAUUUGAAACUGUGGGUCUUGAGUAUCGGAGAGGCAGGCGGAAUUCCUAGUGUAGCGGUGAAAUGCGUAGAUAUUAGGAGGAACACCAGUGCCGAAGGAGGCCUGCUGGACGACAACUGACGGUGAGGCGCGAAAGCGUGGGGAGCAAACAGGAUUAGAUA